ACCAGUGUGGCAUAGUGGUUUGAGCGUUGGACUACAACUCUGGAGAUCAGGGUUCGAUUCCCAGCUUGGUC